rnacentral:tRNA from 1 species
UCCUUGGCAGUCCAGUGGUUAGGAUUCUGCACUUCCAUUGCAGGGGGCAGGGGUUCAAUUCCUGGCUAGGGAA